rnacentral:rRNA from 1 species
GCUACAGGCUUAACACAUGCAAGUCGAGGGGCAGCAUGGUCUUAGCUUGCUAAGGCCGAUGGCGACCGGCGCACGGGUGAGUAACACGUAUCCAACCUGCCGUCUACUCUUGGACAGCCUUCUGAAAGGAAGAUUAAUACAAGAUGGCAUCAUGAGUCCGCAUGUUCACAUGAUUAAAGGUAUUCCGGUAGACGAUGGGGAUGCGUUCCAUUAGAUAGUAGGCGGGGUAACGGCCCACCUAGUCUUCGAUGGAUAGGGGUUCUGAGAGGAAGGUCCCCCACAUUGGAACUGAGACACGGUCCAAACUCCUACGGGAGGCAGCAGUGAGGAAUAUUGGUCAAUGGGCGCAGGCCUGAACCAGCCAAGUAGCGUGAAGGAUGACUGCCCUAUGGGUUGUAAACUUCUUUUAUAAAGGAAUAAAGUCGGGUAUGGAUACCCGUUUGCAUGUACUUUAUGAAUAAGGAUCGGCUAACUCCGUGCCAGCAGCCGCGGUAAUACGGAGGAUCCGAGCGUUAUCCGGAUUUAUUGGGUUUAAAGGGAGCGUAGAUGGAUGUUUAAGUCAGUUGUGAAAGUUUGCGGCUCAACCGUAAAAUUGCAGUUGAUACUGGAUAUCUUGAGUGCAGUUGAGGCAGGCGGAAUUCGUGGUGUAGCGGUGAAAUGCUUAGAUAUCACGAAGAACUCCGAUUGCGAAGGCAGCCUGCUAAGCUGCAACUGACAUUGAGGCUCGAAAGUGUGGGUAUCAAACAGGAUUAGAUACCCUGGUAGUCCACACGGUAAACGAUGAAUACUCGCUGUUUGCGAUAUACGGCAAGCGGCCAAGCGAAAGCGUUAAGUAUUCCACCUGGGGAGUACGCCGGCAACGGUGAAACUCAAAGGAAUUGACGGGGGCCCGCACAAGCGGAGGAACAUGUGGUUUAAUUCGAUGAUACGCGAGGAACCUUACCCGGGCUUAAAUUGCAGAUGAAUUACGGUGAAAGCCGUAAGCCGCAAGGCAUCUGUGAAGGUGCUGCAUGGUUGUCGUCAGCUCGUGCCGUGAGGUGUCGGCUUAAGUGCCAUAACGAGCGCAACCCUUGUUGUCAGUUACUAACAGGUUCCGCUGAGGACUCUGACAAGACUGCCAUCGUAAGAUGUGAGGAAGGUGGGGAUGACGUCAAAUCAGCACGGCCCUUACGUCCGGGGCUACACACGUGUUACAAUGGGGGGUACAGAGGGCCGCUACCACGCGAGUGGAUGCCAAUCCCAAAAACCUCUCUCAGUUCGGACUGGAGUCUGCAACCCGACUCCACGAAGCUGGAUUCGCUAGUAAUCGCGCAUCAGCCACGGCGCGGUGAAUACGUUCCCGGGCCUUGUACACACCGCCCGUCAAGCCAUGGGAGCCGGGGGUACCUGAAGUGCGUAACCGCGAGGAGCGCCCUAGGGUAAAACUGGUGACUGGGGCUAAGUCGUA